rnacentral:misc_RNA from 1 species
UUCCGGCGCGUUUUGUGCCGUUCCGUAUCGGCCAUCUCUGGACGAAUCGUUCUUUCCGCACUUGGCAGCCGUACAAGCCGAUCGAAGCUUACAGGGCCGUGCCGCCUUAGCAAUAGCAGCGACAGAAUCAGCAUACCUGCUAUCAACACGAACCGCUGCCACGUCAAAUUUUUCGUAACGGAAAACGCCGCAGCAGCCAGAUCAAACGCCCGACAGCACCAGUAGCGCAGAACUACAACGACUCACACUACCUCAGUCAAAAUCGUCAUGCCUGAAGAAAAGAAAUACGCGCACACCAAUGGGUUCGCCAACGGACACGGAAACGGAGGACUUCCGCCAGAGAGCCCGGACGGUGAGAUGUUCCUGUUCACUUCCGAAUCCGUUGGAGAAGGACACCCAGACAAAAUGUGUGAUCAGAUCAGUGAUGCUAUUUUAGACGCACAUCUGGAACAAGAUCCCGACGCAAAAGUGGCUUGCGAAACUGUUACCAAAACUGGAAUGGUUUUACUCUGUGGAGAAAUAACAUCCAAAGCCAAUGUUGAUUAUCAAAGAGUAGUUCGAGACACAAUUAAACAUAUAGGCUACGAUGAUUCAUCAAAAGGGCCUCAUGUUUGGCUAUGCUACAGAUGAAACAGAAGAAUGUAUGCCUUUAACAGUGGUACUUGCUCACAAGCUUAAUGAAAAAGUAGCCGAACUCCGAAGAAAUGGAGUACUUUGGUGGGCACGCCCUGACACUAAAACACAGGUAACAUGUGAAUACUGUUUGGUUGGCGGUGCUUGCAUUCCACAAAGAGUUCAUACAGUUGUAAUAUCUGUGCAACAUUCUGAAAAGAUUUCCCUAGAAGACUUACGGCAAGAAGUUAUGUCUAAAGUUGUUAAGACAGUGAUCCCUUCUCAGUAUCUUGAUGACAGAACCGUUUUCCACAUCAAUCCAUGCGGCCAAUUCGUAAUGGGUGGUCCUCAAUGCGAUGCUGGCUUGACGGGACGAAAAAUUAUUGUUGAUACUUAUGGUGGUUGGGGAGCUCACGGAGGUGGUGCAUUCUCUGGCAAAGACUUCACUAAAGUUGACAGAUCCGCCGCAUAUGCUGCUCGUUGGGUUGCUAAGUCUUUAGUAAAAUCUGGGCUUUGCAAACGUUGCCUUGUACAAGUAUCUUAUGCUAUUGGAGUAGCUGAGCCAAUAUCAAUUACACUUUUCCACUAUGGCACGUCUACUAAAACUCAAAAAGAAUUGUUGAAAAUUGUAAACAGUAAUUUUGAUUUAAGACCAGGAAGAAUAGUAAGGGAUUUAAAUCUACGAAACCCAAUCUACCAAAAGACAAGCACAUAUGGACAUUUUGGUCGUGACAUAUUUCCUUGGGAAAAACCAAAGGUUUUGGUCGAGUGAUAAAUGGCGGACUUCUUACACACUGUGUAUGAUUCAAAACAAAUGCGUAGAAUUUUUUAUUAUGAUUUUUUUUUUAACAUUAACGAAUCAAAUGUUGCCACCUGUUCAUAGUGUUAAGAUACACUAUUAAAAAUAUUAGUAUUUGCAUAGUUUUCCCUUAUUUUAAACAAAUUAUAAUUAUUUUUUUUUUGUAAAAUUUGAUUUCUUAAAAAGAAAAAAAAAUUAUUAUUGUAAUUAAUAAGUCAGUGUUACGCCAUGUAAAUAAGAAGUCUAAACAUUACCAGGCACUUAAUUAUUUACCUUUUUGGUCUGUUAAACAAUAUUUGAACAUAGUUGCUUUUUAAUCUUGAUCAAUCACUAUUUGUUAGUGUAUGUCAAUAAAAGCUAAAUACCAAUUUAAUUACUAUUAUCUCAUCAUAUUCCAUGAAAAUAUGUGUACAUAUAUUUUGUAUGUGUACAUGAAUAUUAAGAUAUAUUUUACCUUUUUUUAUUUAAAUAUUUUUUUUUUAGUGAUUUAUUAUUGGCCGCAUCUAUUACCUUUUUUUUUUAUUUAAGUUUGGCACAAUCUUAGGACAUAAAUUUAGCAUACCGACUUCAUUGUUCAUGAAUUAAUUUUAUGUUACUUCUAUGUUCACUUGAUUUAAAUUUAAAUAUUUAUAUUGAAACAAUUAUGGUUUUUUUUUUUUAUAUAUAAUUUUUAAUGUUUUAUCAACAUUUUGUGAAUUUAUUAGUUUUUUUUUUGUCAUACAUGUAUUUUAUCCGCCUUAUUUUCGUUUGUUAUAAUGAUAUGAUUAUUGGCUCAUAAUAAAAUGUGUUGCUGCCCUCCAAA